rnacentral:rRNA from 1 species
GUCGAACGCUGGCGGCGUGCCUAACACAUGCAAGUCGAGCGGGGAUUGUGGAGAGCUUGCUCAAAGCAAUUCUAGCGGCGGACGGGUGAGUAACGCGUGAGCAACCUGCCUCAAACAGGGGGAUAACGCAUCGAAAGAUGUGCUAAUACCGCGUAAGACCACAGCUUCACAUGGAGCAGGGGUCAAAGGAGCAAUCCGGUUUGAGAUGGGCUCGCGUCCGAUUAGCUAGUUGGUGAGAUAACAGCCCACCAAGGCGACGAUCGGUAGCCGACCUGAGAGGGUGAUCGGCCACAUUGGGAACUGAGAUACGGUCCAGACUCCUACGGGAGCAGCAGUGGGGAAUAUUGGGCAAUGGGCGAAAGCCUGACCCAGCAACGCCGCGUGAGGGAGAGGGUUU